UGGAGGAACAACCCCAGUGGCUGGGGCAGUUCUGGAAACCUGGAUUCCGCCCCCGCAGUAACUAGGGAGCUCUCCGUCCAAAGGGGCCUGGAGGUUCCGGUGUGGG
rnacentral:pre_miRNA from 1 species